ACAUUGUGUCAUCUGAUGUUUUGUUUUCAUAAUUCCUAGUGUUGGCUACCAGAGUUUUAUGUGCUCAGUUGGAUGUAAAACCUUUUACUAGACUGUAAACAGUAAAACUGCCAUGAUGAAGGCAAAGCAGGUUGUAUGCUCUGGUGCAUGCUAUAACUGACUGAAUAUCAGCUUGUAAUUUUAUGGAAGUUUUAGAGCAGCUUAUGAUUUGUGUUGAAUAGUAAUAGGAAAGACUAUUAAUUUAGCAAGCAACAGAGAUCUGGGUACUCAUAUUCUUGGACUGAUUGUUUCAACAAUGGUAAGAGAUAAUGGCAAUGGCUGUAUUACAAAAGUGUCCAAGGCUUCCUCAAGCUGUUACUUUGUAAAUUUAAAAUCACAGUAAGAUUUGCAUUCAAGACUCGUUUUCAUAAAAGCUGUGGUGUUCUUGCAGUGCACAUCCCAUGGUGGUUGUAAAGGUUGAUAGCCGUCCUUCAAAGGGAAGGCUUGGUUGAUAUGCGUACUUCUUGGACUUUUUGUAAUGAGACCUCACAUUGGUGUAGGGUAGCAGUAAAGACUCUGUAAUAGACAUGUAAAGAAAAUAGCUAUAGAGUGUUUUUCUGGGGUAUUUAUCAAUUACCAUUGAAUAAUAAUCUUUAAGGAGUGUAGAGCAUUUUGAAGAAAAAUUUCAAGUAUAAUUUUCAUUUGGACUUAAUGGAAAUUCAUAAGGGAUACCGUGUUCCAGAUUUAAUUACUUUGGGAGAUUUGGAUCAGAAGUAAAAAAAAAUAAAAUCUCUGCUCUUCUGAAGAAAGCUAUAUGUGUUUUUCUGGAAUGCUCGGUUGUCUUGGGAUAACCCAGUAGUUAGAUCAUCUUUGAGUCUAAGUGUCUACAGUUUUAACACAGUUUUUGCUGAUUUAGAUCUACAUGCACAGCUUUCGCACAUAGCUCAUCUUGUGUAACAUGCUGCUUUUGAAUUUUGCAAUAUGUGCUUGAUCUCUUUGUCUAGCUGAUGAGUUUGGUCUCACUUUUCAGACAUCUUUAACAUAUUGUUUCCUUUGAUGACAGCCCAUUGCAAGGGAGGUAUGAUACAGCUUGUCUGCGUUUUGUAUGAUAAAGACCUGCACAGCCGUAAGGUUUCUCUGCUCAUGCUUUUAUCACCCAGUCUCAAAAUGCAGUACCCUAGUGGCUUUGCAAAUGUCGAUGUGAACAUGGUGUUGUCCUAUGUAAUAGACAAAGCACAAAGGAUUGAUGUUGCCUGACGCAAAGGCAUCCUGCGUCACUUCUUGCCAUUGGUAAUUUUAGUGGGGGAAAGAGGGCAUGUGCUCUUACAGAAAUAGGGAGCAGCUGAUAUUCUUCUUUCUUAGAGCAAACUGGAGGCUUAGCUAAGCCCAUCUCCAGAAGGUUGUCAGUCUUUUUGCAACUCCUGACCUAUGCCUCAUGUAAAACUUUUGUCUUUUCAUGUUCGUGCUCUGCACCCACCCACCCUCUGCCCUGGGUUGAAUAAAUACGAUAUUGUUGGGUUGUAUUUUGUUCUGUAUAUGAUAACCUUGCAGGUUUUCUUCCCACUGUGUGGCUUAUCUCACAUUUUAGCAAGACACGCAUCACUUCUGUCAGAUGUGAUAUGUGUAAUAGAUGGUAAUGGAUAAUAGUGCAUGCAGAGAGAGUAACUCUCAUGAUAGGAGCUUCAUCUGUCAAUUAGUACAUAGAUGUGCACACAGCAUCUGAAUCCCUCCCUCAAGUAGUCUGUGUUGGCAAUAACAUUUUCUUUCCUAUAUCUGGAAUCUACAAACAGAUUCCAGGUUGGAUAUAUUUAAAGAUGUGCUGAUGGAAGGGUAUGGGUGGAAUUAUUUAGUCAUGUAAUCCUGAGAAUUUCACUUAUGCAAAGUCGUAUCGAAUACUUUUGUAUAGUAAGAGACCUGAUUAGUUAUUGCAGGCAUAUCUGUGAAUAAUCAAGUUUAAAAUGCUAUGCGAAUGGAUCUCUUGGUAUGAAGAGGCAGAAUGUUGGCCAAGUGCUAUAUGGAAAAACACAUUUUAUUUCUCUUGAAUAUAGAUAAACUUAAGGAUAAACAGGUUAGCAAUUUUUUUGAGCUGUGUUGUGUAAUCUUACAUACUUUGAAGUUACCUACUUAAAUGCAUCUCAAAGUUACCUUCUAACUAUGCAGAGUACAAAAAAAAAGGUUAAUUUCUAUCCACUGAUGGUUAUCCUAUUUAGAAACUAAAGCCAUCCUGAAGUUUGGCAGGGCAUCAGGAAUGCACAAAUACAUAUUCUAUUUUUAGCUGAAGCUCCUUGCUGUAACUUUGUUGGAAAAUUAGCAUAUGCUAAAGGGCUGUGUUUUCCUUCAACCAAACCUGAAAGUCCCUGGACUUUUAUAUAAAAACCAACUGUAUAAUGUAGCUGCUUCAUGUGAGAUUAUGCUUUUCUGCAAGCUUGCAGAUAAUGCAAAUGGGCUUUUCUAAAUCAUACAAUUUUGUGAAUAGAAAUGUGGACUCUUCAAUGCAAGAUAGAGUAGUACAAACAGUGCAGUUAUUUAUGACUUCGAGUAAUUGAAGGAAGAUGUUUAUAAGACUUAAUUUGAACUGAGCACUGCUUUGGAUGCUGCAAAGUUGUGUGCAUGUGUGAUACUCUUUAUUUUCUUUGGGUAAAUAAAAGAUUAUUUAAAAAUCCCUUGUUUUCAAAGUAGGAAUGGCCCAAAUCAUCUAUAAACUUUGUUUAGAUAAAACAGUAUAUUCCAGAAAACAGGAAAGCUAGAUAGGUUUCUUGUUUGGUUGUUUUUUUUUAAACCCAAGUGCAGACUUGGCUCUUGUGACUUCUGAAUGGAAACUUCGUGUCUAUUUACAAAUACUUUUUUAGCUGGAAUUCUAGCUGCUAUAAUCUCUAAUUCUCAGGACCCUUUCAUUUCACAACAGCAUCUAGCGUGUUUUAUUGACUUUUUCAGAAUUAGUACUUAGAUGAUAAAUAAGUUGCCAGUUUUCACUAACUGGCAGUUCAGCUCCAGUAGAAAUACGCCUCAAUUAAACAAUUUUUUUUUUUUGUCUUUCCCUGUCCUAAUGUGACUUAAAAUAAAUAAAAUCUGGUUUGGCAAGGUCUUCCAAGACAAGAAACCACCCUCUUUCUGACCUGAUGGUAUUAGAUUUGUUACGUGUUGCUGGAGAAGGCACUGGGUGGGUGGUGAAAUAUUAGUAGUUUAGGAGUAGAGUAUCUUUAGGUUGAUCCUGUAAGUCUCUUGCUGUGAGCUGCACUGGGCAGCACAUCCCAAACUAUUUUGGGCUUUGACCUCACUUUGAUUCAGUCAGACUCGUGAUCCAGAGUGUAACAAAUUUAGUGAAACUGGUUUGUAAUACCCUCUCUAACUGGUAUAACCCAGUCCAAGGCGGAGAAUCACCAGGUUUUAAUUAGUGGAACUUUGGUACUCUGCAAAGUUUUUAUGAGAUGUUAUAUAUUGUCUCAAAACACUGGAUUUUGUUGCUUGUGUUUAGUACAGGCACUGUAGUUAACAGAUUCUCUUGCUUUGGUCAAUCCUUAGUCGUCUCCUAUUAAUAUUAAACCCAGAAAAUCACAGAUUCAGACUAACUAUGAAUUAUUUUAAGGAAGUAUUUGCUUAGCAUCAACAAAGGAUUUUAUUUGCCAAAAUCACUGCCUGGCAUGCUCAUGCUUCUUUCCAAACACAUUAACUUGUAUUUACCAUACUGUUCUGAAGUAAAAGCAGAAGCAUUACUGUUUUAUAUGGCUUGUACAUGUAACUGCAGAUGAGGAUGACUGUCCUUUACAUCCGCUGGAGGUAAGACGCAGUUUUAUGCUUCUGUGACAGUGAAGGCCUAUCUACUUGAGGAAAUGUAGCUUGACCAAACUGUUGUUCAUACGUGAUAAGGACUGGCCAAGUGUAUUUGGGUGUUUCUUGGGGGAAAAGCUGUGGUGAUAUAAAUGUUGGUGUCAAGUUCAGGAAGAGGGUUCCUAGGAUAUGACAAUAGGUGAAAAACUUAACUUCUUCAUAUAGUUAAGCUAUGAAGACUUACAUUACAACUGCAUUGUUGUAAAGGUACAGAAGUUGUGCCUUAUGGUAGAAGUUGGAGGUGAUACAGCCAGGUAAAUGGGGUUCCGUAUUUCCUUCUUGCUUGUUUGGUUUCAUUGACAAUAUUUCUCUUGCUUUUCUCCUUUAGUUGGUCAUGGGUUUAUGCUUUGGCAGCUGUGUCUUUGGCAGCCAAAGGGAAGGUGAUGGGGAAAAUAAAACUUGCAUAUAUGUGUGUGUGUGCAGUUCUUCAACAAACUUGGUUAAUCUGAUUAAUCGGGUUCUCUGAGAUGACUCUUGAAGAAGUUGUUCAGAAUGUACUGUUUUUUUAAUUUCUAGCUGUGGUACUCACUGAUGGAUUUCCUAUGUGUUUGUGUCAGACAAAUGUGCACAUGUAUCCCUUCAUUUGUCAAUGAUUUAUGUCAUCUGUUUAUGGUAUUGUGAUGGCGCUGUUUGUUGUACACAACAAUGUUUUGUUGUGUAGCUUUGUUUCUUUUUACACAGGAUGUAUCUGGGCUUUUGAGAAGCAGAUUUCUCUUUCCAGGCACUUUUCUUAUUACCUUUGGAGAAUAUUUUUCUCCAUUACUCUGCUAAAAUUGCUUUUGUGCAAAAGCUGGAUAAAAUAAAAGUAAAAUUAAAAAAAAAUCCUCCUUCCACUUUGCUUAUAGUCCUCAGUGACACUUGAGCUGUGUUAUUGUCAAUCUGCUGCUGGACCAACAAAUGUUGUACUUUGCUCCUUUGAAGCAGCGAGUAGCAUGGCAGAGGGCCAGACUGUUCUUAAUUAGAUGAUGCUCUCUUUGGAGAGUCAAAUACAGCACUAACUUAACUCCAGCUUGACUUUUGACUUCACUGUGCAGCUGUAGGGUUCCAGACUCCUGUGUUCUGAUUCAUUUUCUGGGAAUACCUACAGGGCAAAUUCUCUUCACUACUGUGGGAAUUAGGAGUGAUCUGUUGGGAAAGACUGUUCUCUAGGGUUGUUGGUCGGAGGUCUGUUUCUUGUUUUCAAUGGCUGAUGAUGAUGGUAGAUAACUCUUAUAGCUUACAUGGCAGCAGUUCAUGCUGAACGUCCAAGGCCAAGUUCUCAUGAAAAUAGAUGGGUGUUACAGGAACUUAGACAGAUUUUGAUCACUUCUCCCUCUCUCCCCCAAAUAAAAGUUUUGACACAGUCCAUCAAGGAUUGAAUGUUAAGAAGCUUUUACCGUAGCUGAGAUUUUCAGCUCCUAUAGUUUUUGUGACUGGCAGUCAUCAUAUAGUCUCUUAUAUACUUGUAUUGCUGUAUAGUCUUUUAAUAGCAGUAGUGUAUCUCCCUAUCCUCCUGCCUCUGUUCUUGUCAUCUUCUCUACAAAAGGGAGAUCCUCAGAGUCUGCUAUGGUUGAGGCUUCCAUAUACUUGAUUUCUUCAGUGGAAAUGUUUCUGGACAUGGAGCUGUCCAGAAUUGGAUUUAGUCCCACUACCAGCAUGCUUUCUCUAUUUGCUUUUAUAGCAGUGCAGGUCUAUGUUUUCUGUUAAUACUUUGAUAUCUUCAGUGGAAACCAAUGAAAAGAUGUAGGAAAUGACAAACACAAGUAAAAUAACAAGCUGCAUUCAUGGUUUCUGUUGACCAAGUCUACACAUGGGAUUCUGAUUGAAAUCCCUAAUUUUGUCUGCUGACUUUACCUUAAUCGACAGGGUUCCUCUUAAAAUCAACAGGGUUCUACUGUUGCUUCCAAAAAUGAUCUCUGAAAUUGUGAAUCAUCUUACAUAGCAUUCAAAAAUGCAUACAUUCCUAUCCAAAUAUAGAGGUGCCAUCCAGCUGAGCUCACGUCUUGCAAACUUGGCUGGCAAAGAUCAGACUUAAAUUGUGUCGAAGCAGUGAAAGUGGAUUUUAAUCCAUUUUGGAAUUACAAAAGAGAAAGGGAAGAUGUUUUCAAAUUGAAUUGUCUUUACUAUGAUGGAAAAUGUGGGGAAAGAAAAUGGAAGACCUCAAUUACAAGUGUUGGAAGCACAUAGGUCUGCUAAUAAUGAUGAGACAAACCAAAGUGACAGUAAGAAAGAAGAGAAUUUCAGAGCAUGAAGGCUCUGGAAGGAUCUGUGUGAACUUGUACGUUUGUUGCAGAAAGGUAAUGAAUCUGCUGUGGAAGAGACAUCAGUAUAUGCAAAAAAAAACACCCAGAUUUUUAAAGGGUGAAGAGCAGAUGGGUUUUCCAGAAGACAAGGCCUCCUGUAAACUAAGUGGCCAUUCCCCUAGUAAUGGAAUCUGGGCAUAUAGAAUAUGUAUAUGGCAGCCAGUAGCCUACAAAAAGUCUGAAUACUUAGGAAAUGGUUUCAUGAGAAGAUGAAGGAACUUACUUGAAAACAAGUCUUUGGUUUUGUAUCUGUUCCUUGAUGAAGGGAAUUUUGACUGUGUAAGCUCAGUGAGAAUUGCUCACAUGCAUGAAUCUCGUCACAGUUGUAGAAACUGAGAGCAUACAUACUCUUUCCUGCUGAGCAGAAACCAGUUAAAAUACCUCGCAGGCUGCAGUAGCACUUGAGCAGACCUAAUCUGGAAUUUGGUCUCCUGACAGGCUGUACCCAUUCAUGGGAAUGUUAGUGGCAAAUUUGCCACCUAAGAAACCUGGUUUGGAAAACUUAAGCUGUUGAAUUGUUGAAUGUCAGUUGACAGACUGAUGUGGUAUAUAUUUCUGAAUAUUUCUUCCUUGACUCUUCCUCACUGUCCGUCCUGAUUUGAAAAAUGGCACUUACUUCAGAGUACUGUAAUCUGUUUCUGCAACAGAUUUAUUUUUAUUUCAUUCCUUUCUCCAUAAUUAAGAGCAUCUACAUCGAGUUAUCAAAGUAGCAAUUCCUUAAAUUCACAUGGUUUUAGUCCAGAUGGUUUCACUUUCUUGGGCUCAGGUGAAGUUUUUACUUAAAUUUUCCAUAUAUCUUUGAGAUCUAUUUUAAGUCACAUAGUCAAGCUGUGAAAGAGCUGGGAAUCUUGUGCUAAAAAGUGAAAUGCAUCUUAUUUUCCUGUUUAAUGAUUUACUUGUAUGGUAUACUUCCCAAUGGGCUGACUGUAUUUAACAUAUGAGUUAAAACUUGGUAUGAAAUAAAAGAUGAUGGCUUUUUA